rnacentral:rRNA from 1 species
CCUACGGGAGGCAGCAGUGAGGAAUCUUCCACAAUGGGGGAAACCCUGAUGGAGCAACGCCGCGUGCAGGAUGAAGGCCUUCGGGUUGUAAACUGCUUUUAUAAGUGAAGAAUAUGACGGUAACUUAUGAAUAAGCACCGGCUAACUACGUGCCAGCAGCCGCGGUAAUA